rnacentral:rRNA from 1 species
UGGGGAAUAUUGCACAAUGGGCGAAAGCCUGAUGCAGCAACGCCGCGUGAGUGAUGAAGGUCUUCGGAUUGUAAAGCUCUGUCUUUUGGGACGAUAAUGACGGUACCAAAGGAGGAAGCCACGGCUAACUACGUGCCAGCAGCCGCGGUAAUACGUAGGUGGCGAGCGUUGUCCGGAUUUACUGGGCGUAAAGGGUGCGUAGGCGGAUGUUUAAGUGAGAUGUGAAAUACCCGGGCUUAACUUGGGUGCUGCAUUUCAAACUGGAUAUCUAGAGUGCAGGAGAGGAGAAUGGAAUUCCUAGUGUAGCGGUGAAAUGCGUAGAGAUUAGGAAGAACACCAGUGGCGAGGCGAUUCUCUGGACUGUAACUGACGCUGAGGCACGA